rnacentral:rRNA from 1 species
ACAUGCUUACAACAUAGCGUUAAUGCACCGUAUCCCUUUAUAACUUCAUAGUUAAGCACGAUUAGGCUAGAGUAAUAUCGGGAUGGGUGACCGCCUGGGAAGUCCUAAUGUUUUACAUACU